GGUUAAGCGACUAAGCGUACACGGUGGAUGCCCUGGCAGUCAGAGGCGAUGAAGGACGUGCUAAUCUGCGAUAAGCGUCGGUAAGGUGAUAUGAACCGUUAUAACCGGCGAUUUCCGAAUGGGGAAACCCAGUGUGAUUCGUCACACUAUCAUUAACUGAAUCCAUAGGUUAAUGAGGCGAACCGGGGGAACUGAAACAUCUAAGUACCCCGAGGAAAAGAAAUCAACCGAGAUUCCCCCAGUAGCGGCGAGCGAACGGGGAGGAGCCCAGAGCCUGAAUCAGUGUGUGUGUUAGUGGAAGCGUCUGGAAAGGCGCGCGAUACAGGGUGACAGCCCCGUACACAAAAAUGCACAUGCUGUGAGCUCGAUGAGUAGGGCGGGACACGUGGUAUCCUGUCUGAAUAUGGGGGGACCAUCCUCCAAGGCUAAAUACUCCUGACUGACCGAUAGUGAACCAGUACCGUGAGGGAAAGGCGAAAAGAACCCCGGCGAGGGGAGUGAAAAAGAACCUGAAACCGUGUACGUACAAGCAGUGGGAGCCUCUUUAUGGGGUGACUGCGUACCUUUUGUAUAAUGGGUCAGCGACUUAUAUUCUGUAGCAAGGUUAACCGAAUAGGGGAGCCGAAGGGAAACCGAGUCUUAACUGGGCGUUAAGUUGCAGGGUAUAGACCCGAAACCCGGUGAUCUAGCCAUGGGCAGGUUGAAGGUUGGGUAACACUAACUGGAGGACCGAACCGACUAAUGUUGAAAAAUUAGCGGAUGACUUGUGGCUGGGGGUGAAAGGCCAAUCAAACCGGGAGAUAGCUGGUUCUCCCCGAAAGCUAUUUAGGUAGCGCCUCGUGAAUUCAUCUCCGGGGGUAGAGCACUGUUUCGGCAAGGGGG
rnacentral:rRNA from 1 species